UGGGGAAUUUUGGACAAUGGGCGAAAGCCUGAUCCAGCAAUGCCGCGUGUGUGAAGAAGGCCUUCGGGUUGUAAAGCACUUUUGUCCGGAAAGAAAUCCUUGGCUCUAAUACAGUCGGGGGAUGACGGUACCGGAAGAAUAAGCACCGGCUAACUACGUGCCAGCAGCCGCGGUAAUACGUAGGGUGCAAGCGUUAAUCGGAAUUACUGGGCGUAAAGCGUGCGCAGGCGGUUUGCUAAGACCGAUGUGAAAUCCCCGGGCUCAACCUGGGAACUGCAUUGGUGACUGGCAGGCUAGAGUAUGGCAGAGGGGGGUAGAAUUCCACGUGUAGCAGUGAAAUGCGUAGAGAGUGGAGGAAUACCGAUGGCGAAGGCAGCCCCCCUGGGGCCAAUACUGACGCUCAUGCACGAAAGCGUGGGGAGCAAACAGGAUUAGAUACCCUGGUAGUCCACGCCCUAAAACGAUGUCAACUAGUUGUUGGGGAUUCAUUUCCUUAGUAACGUAGCUAACGCGUGAAGUUGACCGCCUGGGGAGUACGGUCGCAAGAUUAAAACUUAAAU
rnacentral:rRNA from 1 species